UACGGAGGGUGCAAGCGUUAAUCGGAAUAACUGGACGUAAAGCGUGCGUAGGUGGUUAAUUAAGUUAUCUGUGAAAUCCCUGGGCUCAACCUGGGCAGGUCAGAUAAAACUGAAUAACUCGAGUAUAGGAGAGGGUAGUGGAAUUUCCGGUGUAGCGGUGAAAUGCGUAGAGAUCGGAAGGAACACCAGUGGCGAAGGCGGCUACCUGGCCUAAUACUGACACUGAGGCACGAAAGCCAAGGGAGCAAACAGG
rnacentral:rRNA from 1 species